AUGUCAAUUGUGUUAAUAAUAUGCAAAACCCCAAGCUUGGGGAUACUAGUUUUGCUAUGUCCACUACUUAUUGCAAUGAUCAUGAUUGGGGGUGAUAAUGCUUCUUAUGAUCUUGAAAAUUUGUUUAAGCCUCAUGAUGAAUAUGAUAUUGAUAAUAAUAUUUGCAAUAAUAUUGAAAGUGAGUUUGGAAGAGUGUCAACUUUAAGAAAUAAUGAUCCCACUACUUUGGAGAUUGAUCAAUCUUAUGAAUAUUUUGAUAAAAGUGGGCUUGGAGAAGUGAUACGUCCAUUUUGCAUCAUGCUUUUAUAUCGCUAUUUAUUGCAUUAUGGGCUGUUAUUACACGUUAUGUCACAAUACUUAUGGCUAUUAUCUCUUAUUUUACAAGGUUUAUCAUGA
rnacentral:rRNA from 1 species